AGUAGAAGAUCCACUAGUCGAUUUCAGGGUUUAGCAGAAAGAAAUAGGUUGAUGGCAAAACCUAGAAUGCCUUCUGAAAAAACAAUCCAAUCCUCUAAGAGGAAGGAACAAGAAUCAAUCAUCUAAAUACGAGAAAAGAACAAUGAGAAAACAAAGAGACAAAGUCCUAUCGGAUCUUUGCUUUGAUAAUAAGUCAAAAUAUGAAAUGGAAAGGAAGAAAUAUUUGUGAGUGAAUUUUCUGAUACCAUUCAAUUGUGCUUAUGAGGUUAUAUAUACAAGCCCUACACUACUACAUGUUGUAUAAUACAAGUCAUCUUGUUCUCCAAGUAAUCUUGUUGUCCAAGUUUCCUUCUCUUACAAGUUUUCUUCUCCUACAAGUUUACAUAUCUAUAUGCUCUAUGCAGAUCAUAAUGUAUCGGUGGCUUUCUCCUAUAUCCAGAUCGAAAUUAGAUGGUAUGCCAGAUGGUCGAUUCAUAAUCAAUAUUUAUGUGGAUGAGAUGCUAGAGGUUUAAUUUUUGUUUUCAUCUACUCUUCCGCAGAGGCCGAAACCAUCUCAUCCUCUCAUCAAUGUCAUCGCCGUUGUCUCUCCCCAAACCCCAACCUAGCCGCUAUCCCUAGACACCUCUGACCCCAUCCACAAUUCCAUUGACGCGAACGACGAGUUGUGUGUCACGCACGCCAUUGGGAACCUCAGCCAAAGCUUUCCGUUAAGCCCUUCGUCAAUGGCGGAGCCUUUGGUAUGCUCGCUACUGUGUCAUCCAACCCAUCGAUAUGAUCAAGGUGAGAAUUCAAUUGGGUUGGGGAUCAGCUGGACAAGCUGCCAGGAUCUUGAUCAAGGAGGAGGGUUUUGGUUCAUUGUAUAAGCUGGACAAGCUAUAGAGUCAUGUUCUGUGGUAUUCUGUUUUGAAGUUUGCUCCUUUCUAAGGUAAAAUCCAUCUUCAAUACUUAUAAUUCAGUGUUGGUUUUUAUCUCAGAAUUGAAGAAAAUACCAUUAUUUAGGAAAUAACAGCUAGCUAGUAUGUAACAUAAUAAGAAGAGUUAAAGUACUAAACUUUUAUUUACUAAAUCAAGUUGGGUUGUGUGAUUCGAUGUGUUUGUGUGUGUCUUCAAAAUCUGUUUAGGGUUGCAUUUGACUUGUUCUUUCUAACUUUUAACUUUUAUUAAGAUGUAUGGUGCACUGUUAUAGUAAAUCAUUUUAUUAAUUAAAGCAGAAAUUUUAUUUACCUUGAGAGGCUUGAGCAAGUCCCAAAAUUUAUAAGUUGUCUCAGACUUGAAGUUCUUUAGGAUUUAGUUUGGCUUUCAGUAAGUUGGUGCUCUAUUUUGGCUUUGCUUAUGUGUUUGGAUUGCUGGUGCAUUACACAUAAUGGAUUGAGAGGUAUGUUUGAUUUCUAUUUUUGAUUUGCUUUCUGGUGAUGAUGAAGGUUAUAUAUAUUGGUUUUCGUGGUCGCUAGUGGAGGACUAGACCUCACAUUAAUAGUUUUCUUACUUUAUUCUCUAGCCAUGUCCAAACUAAACCAUCUGAUUUGUGCAGAACAAGAACUUUGAAUUGAUUAAAAAAAAGAAAAAAGAAUCUAUAUCAGUAUGUGUAGAUAUGCAUUUUAAUUGGCUUUUAGUGUUUCUGGAUUUCCUUCUGCAAUGUUUAUCAUUUCUUCUGUUUUGCACUUGUGAAAAAAACGAAACACUCACUCCUUAAUGCAUGUUGUAGUUACUAUUCUAUGUAUGGACAUUUCAAGAAGCUAGAUGAAGAGAUUAAAAAGGGAGCUGCAUCUGUGGGAGUAGAAGAGCCCAACUAUCUCAGGUUUGCAAUUGUCGAUCACUUCAUAUUAUGGAAUUGAUAUACGGUAAAUCAAGAAGCUGCAUAAAUCAUCUAUUAGCCAGAACUUUGUCCACUAUAUUUGAAAUUUAGUUUCCAAUGAAAUGAGAUCAGUUUGAAAGAACUUUAAUGAAGUUACCAAUAGAGUUAGUUAAUUUCAACUAUCUAGAAUUUGUACAAGUAUUUUGUAUUUUUGACCUUGAU